rnacentral:misc_RNA from 1 species
GAAAUGCGAUAAGUAGCGUAAAUUGCAGAACGCAUAUUGCGCAUAGGAGUCCUGCCUUGCUGCACAUCUGAUUGAGGAUCGUGAUCAAAAACAGCAGGUCUAUGACUGUAAUAGAAAUAGCUAGUGAAUCACGAGUUCGGCUUACCACCUCUGGCUGAACGUGUUUUGUCAUAAUGUUAGAGAGAACAGUCGCUCGCACGUGAGAUUGCCUACCAUACGGAUGAUCUAUAGCUGAAGCAAUAGGUCUCGAUCACUGGAUAUCAUGCUUAUAUACUCUGUGGCGUCUGAGAUACAGCUAGUGGGUUCCAUACGUGCCUGGUAUCGAGAGUAUUCGCUCUCCCGACCUCAACUCAGGUGUAUUACCCGCUGAAUUUAA